rnacentral:rRNA from 1 species
CACGUAGGGUGCGAGCGUUGUCCGGAAUUAUUGGGCGUAAAGAGCUCGUAGGCGGUCCGUCACGUCGGGUGUGAAAUUCCAGGGCUCAACCCUGGACCUGCAUUCGAUACGGGCGGACUAGAGUUCGGUAGGGGAGACUGGAAUUUACGGUGUAGCGGUGAAAUGCGUAGAUAUCGUAAGGAAGACCAGUGGCGAAGGCGGGUCUCUGGACAGUUCCUGACGCUGAGGCACGAAGGUCAGGGGAGCAAACGGG